rnacentral:tRNA from 1 species
UCCGUUAUGGUGUAUCGGCUAGCAUCCGUCGCUUUCAUGAGCCUCAAUGGGUGAAUGUCAGCUACCGACGAGAGCCGGGUUCGACUCCCGGUAACGGAA